AACAAACACCUGAAGCCCGCCAUGUUGGAUUGUAAAGAUUUGUAGUUUACGUAUGGGGUAAUAACGUUAGGUUUAGUUCCCCCUAAAUUUACUAAGGGUUCCCUGACCAUGGACCCCAGGAACAGCGCCCAGGAUGUUGUACGCUGCACCCUGUGUCAGGACUCUAUGACCCCCAGUAUGCCACCCCAAGGAGCCGAGUCCUCUCCCCCAGACCGGUCACUGAUGGAUGUACCCCAGGUCAUCACAGCUAUAGACACAGGGCAUACAUAUCUAUACCGUGUGUCGUGUCUUAAUGAUACAGAAGUAUGGACGCGUGGUAGUGACAGCAAGAUGAAACUCUUCACCUCUCUAUUCAUCGGUUGACAUUAAAUACAUCACUGAGAACAGGAACCUAGAUAUCUGUGUGUCAAACUGUGGAACCCAUGCAGUAGUGGUGGUCAAUCAGGCCGGGAAACUCCGGUUUACCUACACUGGUCCUCCCUCUACUACCAAGGGAUCAUUUGAUCCACGCGGCAUCACAACAGACAGCCAGGGUCGGAUCCUGACAGCAGACAAUAACAAUAGCUGUAUUCACAUCCUGGAUCAGGACGGACAGUUCCUCCGCUACAUUGACAACUGUCAUUUACAGGCUCCAUGGGGUUUAUGCGUGGACACCAGAGACAACCUCUUUGUGGCUGAGUGGGACACAGGUAUAGUGAAGAAAAUACAAUAUUACAUGUAAAUCAAUUAACUGCAUGAAUUAGAUGUAAACAAAGCGUAUGAAGUAUAUAUUUUAUAUUGAAAGUAAGUAUACCAUGUAAUGAAACUAUUAACGUUGUAUGUCAUCACAUGGUGUAUAUCAGAUGUAAACAUGUUGUGUGUUGAUAAUGUUUCACACAUUAACUAACUUACCAUGUCUAUAAGAUAUUAACAGACUGCUUAACUGUCAUAAUAGUAAGUGUUUAUGUGUUUAAUCAUUGCAAGGCAUCAGUCUUCAUUUGUUUCAAUACAAUAAUUUUUAUUUUUGUGUGUUAACAAAGUUCUCUCUGAUAAUAUAUAAGUAAACAAACAUAGACCAUGUUUAUAUAUUAUAUGUAAACAAAGUGGCUGUGUAUAUGUGUCACAUGCAUAUCAAAAGACUAUAUAUUUACAUCUAUAUUAUAAAGAAACUCCUUUUUUUCUAUUUACAUGUAUAAAUGUACAUUAAGUGACUGUGAUUUUAAUAUGUGUAUACGUUUGUGUAUGCAUGUGUAUAUGUCUGAUUUUUAACAAUUACCACUUGUUACAUGUGGUUAUCACUCUAUGUUACAUGUAAUGAUAUGACAGUAUAUCUAUAACAUGUAUUUAAAAUGGUCUUUAUAUGUUUAACUUACAUGUGGUUAUCUGAACACACUUUAUGUUGCAUGUUUUAUUGACAAAGGUUAAUGGACGUGUAGCACUCAAUUCUUUACCAAAAAAUGGAGCGAGGCCACAAAGGGACUGAGGCCCAUUACUUUUAAAGAGGAGUGGUACAGGUAUAUUAACCCAAGUAGAAUCAUAUGACACUGAACUUAUAGUUAUUACUUACCUUUUAAAUCUAAAGAAUUGGAGUAAAUGUUUGAUUUUUCGUCAACCCGUUCCUCUGUUCUAUGUUUAUAAUAUAUUCUGUCCUGUGGUGUUUUUAUUUCGAAUAUCUUGGAUCGAGUUUUUGCAGAACUAACCAAAGGAUUCUGAAAUAUGUAAUUAGACAAUCAGCAUAUUUACAGACAUGUGUAUGUAUAUAUUAUUGAUACUGCAUCUGAAUGUGUUAUAAGUUAUUUUUAUCUUUAAAUAAAUCUUUGAACU
rnacentral:misc_RNA from 1 species